rnacentral:lncRNA from 13 species
GCUCAAGUCCACACACCCCACUCUAGGCUGAACAAGGAAUUCAACCCAAGUUUGUUUGCCUCCAAAACCCAUGCCUUCUCCUUAGGGGCUGGGCAACAGCAUCGAGGGAGUAAGCAGCCAGGGUGGAAGGACCCCAGUGGAGAUGAGAUUUCAUUCCUCUGGCUUUUUUUCUAGAGGAAGAUUGAGAAGAGGGCCAGGAGAUGCCUGGAGGUGAUCACAGCUCCUGCACCUGGCUGGUCACUCACAGUGUGCAGAUGGAGGCAGCGAGGCCAGUGUCAGCCUCAAGCCUGCCUUUCCCUUCUCCCCAGCCAUGCUCUCAUGCUCCUGCCCUGCUCUGCUGAGAUCUAACAGCUGCCAUUAUGGCCACCUUUCGGACCAUCCCUGGGCUCCGACGUGCCUCCCUCUGCCUGCAUUCCCACUGGAUGCCUCCGGAGAGUUCUUCUUUCCCAUUCCAGCUUUGCAUUUGGAAUCCAGUUCUGUCUCGACCCCUUUUUAAACUUUUCUUUCAACAAGUUCAAAGUCCUUUACAGUUUUUCCUGAGCUUCUUUUUCUCACGCAUAUAUAUUUUUAGAGAAUAAACAGAUGGGAAGAGUCUGAAGAUACAAAGUGAGUCACGUAUGGUAGCAGUCCCUGAACCCUGCAUGUAUGGCAAGGUGUAGGGAAUGGCCCUAUUCUUCCUAGGUUGUAAGCAUCUUUCUCUAGGGCCAAGGCAGCUAACAAGAAGUGUGAAGGCCUUAACCCCCAAGUUAAGGCCCGGCCUACUUGGCCUGUUAAAAAUAUGGCUAGUCCUAGAUCCUUGACCCAGCAAUCCUGUUACUUUGUAUAUACCCAAAGGAUUAUAAAUUAUUCUACU